rnacentral:rRNA from 1 species
UGUAAGCGUAUACCAAAGUUGUUGCAGUUAAAACGCUCGUAGUCGGAAUUUGGCAGUUCCGGAUGUGUGCACGUCGUGUGCGCACUUCGCGGGGAUUGCUUUUGUGGCCUUGCGUAGGAUGAGGCACUUUUAUUAGUGAACGUCCUCACGCAACCACUUUUUACUGUGAGAAAAUCAGAGUGCUCAAAGCAGGCACUUGCCGUGAAUGUAUUAGCAUGGAAUAAUAGAAUAGGACUUGGUUCUAUUUUGUUGGUUUGUUGGGACUGAGUAAUGAUUAAGAGGGACAGUUGGGGGCAUUUGUAUUUCGGUGCUAGAGGUGAAAUUCUUAGAUUACCGAAAGACAAACUGCUGCGAAAGCGUCUGCCAAGGAUGUUUUCAUUGA